rnacentral:lncRNA from 1 species
UGGUGUGGAGAAAGGGAAAUUUGGGAUCAAUAUAAAAGGCUGUGCUGGUUUUCUCUUUGUUGUUUGUUCUUUGGGGUUAUGGGUAUUAUGGUUUUAGUUAUUCUUUGGUCCUUAAGAGUCUUUGCGAAGCUUGAUAUUUUGUAUAACCGGUGGAAUAAUAAUGGGCGUUUGGUUUGCUGGCACUUCGGGACUUUAGAGAUGGCUUUCAUAAUUGUUUCUGUUAUAUAUUGUGG